GUAGGUGAGGGACUGUCGUUUCAAUGUUUUCAUUCAUUACAAUUUCCACCUGAUAAAGAUGGAAAUAAGGUGUCUCAAAUUUAUCUACAGGAUGAUCGUAAAAGUCGAAAUUGGAUUUAGAAGAAUUAGGCACGAGUUGUGUGCAAUUGGGUCAAGGAUUGCCGGAUAACAAUAAUCGCAUUGAAACAAUAUUGACAGCCACGAAAAGAAUAAAUUAAAAUAAAAUUAUAUUGCAAAUAAAAAGUGUGGGAAACGAAUGAGAGAGCAAAAAUGAAAGAAAAUUAACAAAAAGAACUCUCGGCGAAUUUAGAUUGCUUCAAUCAUUAAACCAUAACGGACAUUCACUGUACGUUAAUGGAGGUUCUUUAAGCAAACACUAUUACAUAACUGUGCAAUAAAACGUAAAAAUUUUGAUAAGUGACAACAAUCGGAAUCGAUCAAAAAUCGCGUGUUGCGCGAAAAAAUCGACGAAAUGAAAGCGAGCCGAGUUUCGAGAGAAGUUCUCACGGUUCAGAUGAAUUCGUUCGAACCAAAUUUAUAAACGCAUUAGAAAGUACUCGGCGUACGGUGCAAGUUACAAUGUCUUUUAAAGUUUUAUUGAUGUAUAAACUGCUAUUCUACAUAUAUAUUAUUCUAAUGCGAGUCCCGUUCGGAUUCUUAGGUUGGCAAUAACGCAAUCGAGGACCAAAUACAGAACGACUUUACCAAUUAUGUUUGUGUUUCUGGUUCGCCGCGUACGCCAUCGACGAUCAAAGGGUGAUUUAUUCCAACACCAUCUAAGGGAAGAAAAGACCUAACGGAACAGAACACCAGGAAAACUGCGUAUUCGAAGAAUGUAAAAGGACUCGAGACGAAAAACUAUAAUAAAAACGAAUUAGGGUUUUAUUUCUACAAUAUCGAACGGCCACUUAAUGAAAUCAACCGAUGUUGUCAUAACCAUGAGAACUCACACGGAUUCAAAUCGGGGCUUUGUGGUGGCAUUUCUACUGGUAACUUGACACCUCACAAGUCACCUGUUGGCUCAUCAAGCAGUAGCGCUGAAUUCUAAUUAAUUACUUGAUUAAAUAUUUUUUUCAAAGUAAUUAAAUUCUCGUUACUUCAA